GCGCUUGUAGCUCAAUAGGAUAGAGCAAUCGCCUUCUAAGCGAUAGGUUGCCGGUUCAAGCCCAGUCAAGCGUACCA
rnacentral:tRNA from 1 species